AAGAAAGUAAGCAAGGGCGCAUGGCGGAUGCCUUGGCUCUCGGAGGCGAUGAAGGACGUGAUAAGCUGCGAUAAGCUCUGGGUAGGUGCAAAUAACCUUUGAUCCAGAGAUUUCCGAAUGGGACAACCCGGCAUUCUGAAGGAAUGUCAUCCAUCUUUGAUGGAAGCUAACGCAGGGAACUGAAACAUCUUAGUACCUGUAGGAAAAGAAAAUAAUAAUGAUUCCCCUAGUAGUGGCGAGCGAACGGGGAAUAGCCCAAACCACCCAUGUUACGGCAUGUGUGGGGUUGUAGGACCACGAUGUCGCAAGACAUUUGAUGAGUAGAAUCCUCUGGAAAGUUGAACCAUAGACGGUGAUAGUCCGGUAUACGAAGUCAAAUUAAGCGUAGUGGUAUCCUGAGUAGCGCGGGACACGAGAAAUCUUGCGUGAAUCUGCCGGGACCAUCCGGUAAGGCUAAAUACUCCCGAGAGACCGAUAGCGAACCAGUACUGUGAAGGAAAGGUGAAAAGCACUUCGAAUAGAAGAGUGAAAUAGUCCCUGAAACCGUGCGCCUACAAGCGGUCGGAGCUGCUUAAGCAGUGACGGCGUGCCUUUGCAUAAUGAACCUACGAGUUACUUUUUCCGGCAAGGUUAAGCAUCUUGAGAUGUGCAGCCGAAGCGAAAGCGAGUCUGAACAGGGCGUCGAGUCGGAAGGAGUAGACGCGAAACCAAGUGAUCUACCCUUGGUCAGGUUGAAGGUUAGGUAACACUAACUGGAGGACCGAACCGAUAAGCGUUGAAAAGCUUCCGGAUGAACUGAGGGUGGGGGUGAAAGGCUAAUCAAACUUGGAGAUAGCUCGUACUCCCCGAAAUGCAUUUAGGUGCAGCCUUGUGAGUUACUAAUGUGAGGUAGAGCGACUGAUAAGAUGCGAGGGCUUCACCGCCUAUCAAGUCUUGAUAAACUCCGAAUGCGCAUUAGUUCUAUCACAGGAGUGAGGGCAUGGGUGCUAAGGUCCAUGUCCUAAAGGAGAAGAAUCCAGACCAUCAGCUAAGGUCCCCAAAUAAACACUAAGUUGAACUAACGAAGUCAGAUUGCUAAGACAGCUAGGAUGUUGGCUUGGAAGCAGCCAUUCAUUUAAAGAGUGCGUAACAGCUCACUAGUCGAGGAGUUUGGCGUGGAUAAUAAUCGGGCAUUAAGUGUUUUACCGAAGCUAUGGGAUCAGUAAUGAUCGGUAGGGGAGCAUUCCACUCUGCGUCGAAGGUGAAGCGUGAGCUUUGCUGGAGCGUGUGGAAAAGCAAAUGUAGGUAUAAGUAACGAUAAAGGGGGUGAGAAACCCCCUCGCCGAAAGACUAAGGUUUCCUGAUCAACGCUAAUCGGAUCAGGGUUAGUCGGGUCCUAAGGCUCAGCCGAACGGUGAGGCCGAUGGCAGAACAGGUUAAUAUUCCUGUACUACCUUAAGGAGUGACGUGGAGACGGAGCAGUGACAGCGCCGCGGACUGACGGAAUAGUCCGUUGAAGGGUGUAGAUGUUGAUCAUCCCAGGCAAAUCCGGGAUGAGAGUCGAACCUGAUAGUAUGGAGCGUUCUUCGGAACAAUCCAAUAGUGCGUGUAAGCAUACUCCCAAGAAAAUCCGCUAAACUUAAUCCUUAAGGUACCCGUACCGCAAACGGACACACGUAGUCGGGUUGAAUAUACUAAGGCGCUUGAGUGAUUCACGGUUAAGGAACUAGGCAAAUUGACCCUGUAACUUCGGGAUAAAGGGUCCCAACGAGAGUUGGGCGCAGAGAAUAGGUCCAGGCAACUGUUUAACAAAAACACAGGGCUGUGCCAAAUUGAAAGAUUACGUAUACAGCCUGACACCUGCCCGGUGCUGGAAGGUUAAGAGGAGAUGUCAUCGCAAGAGAAGCAUUGAAUUGAAGCCCCAGUAAACGGCGGCCGUAACUAUAACGGUCCUAAGGUAGCGAAAUUCCUUGUCGGGUAAGUUCCGACCUGCACGAAUGGUGUAAUGAUCUGGACACUGUCUCAACCGUGAGCUCAGUGAAAUUGUAGUAUCGGUGAAGAUGCCGAUUACCCGCGAUGGGACGAAAAGACCCCGUGAACCUUUACUAUAGCUUAACAUUGAAUUUGGGUAAUUGAUGUGUAGGAUAGGCCGGAGACUUCGAAGCAGGUACGCCAGUAUUUGUGGAGUCGCUGUUGAAAUACGGCCCUUUGAUUAUUUGAGUUCUAACUCGUAGUUGCGAGGACACUGUUUGGUGGGUAGUUUGACUGGGGUGGUCGCCUCCAAAAUAGUAACGGAGGCUUCUAAAGGUGCCCUCAGGACGAUUGGUAACCGUCCGUAGAGUGUAAUGGCAUAAGGGCGCUUGACUGGGAGACUAACAAGUCGAUCAGGUAGGAAACUAGAGCAUAGUGAUCCGGUGUUUCCGUAUGGAAGGGACAUCGCUCAAAGGAUAAAAGGUACUCCGGGGAUAACAGGCUGAUCCCUCCCAAGAGCUCAUAUCGACGGAGGGGUUUGGCACCUCGAUGUCGGCUCGUCACAUCCUGGGGCUGGAGAAGGUCCCAAGGGUUGGGCUGUUCGCCCAUUAAAGUGGCACGCGAGCUGGGUUCAGAACGUCGUGAGACAGUUCGGUCUCUAUCUAUCGUGGGCGUAUGAAAUUUGCGUGGCUCUGACACUAGUACGAGAGGACCGUGUUGGACUGACCGCUGGUUUACCAGUUGUGCCGAAAGUCCCCGCCAGUCAUCUUUGAUUGGCGGGGAUUUCUUGUUUAUACACUUUCUUGUCAGAUUUUUGGGUUCUCCUGCUUAUUUUCUAUGAUUCAGCCAAAUUUAUAUUCUUUUUCUUUU
rnacentral:rRNA from 1 species